rnacentral:misc_RNA from 1 species
AACGCACCUUGCGCUCCUUGGUAUUCCGAGGAGCAUGCCUGUUUGAGUGUCAUUAAAUUCUCAACCCUACUGGCUUUGUUGUCUGGCUAGGGAUUGGACUUGGAGGUUCUGCUGGCGCGAGUCGGCUCCUCUCAAAUGCAUUAGCGAGAGCGCAAAGCUUUUGCGGACGGUGUGAUAAUUAUCUACGCCUUCAAGCCGCAGAGACGCACUUGCUUCUAACCGUCUUCGGACAAACUCAUUUCUUGACUUUGACCUCAGAUCAGGUAGGACUACCCGCUGAACUUAA